CUUGGCUGUAAGCAGAGUCAACCACACCGGUCACCUAUGUCCCCAUUAACAUAUGGGGGCCAGUGUGGGGGCAUAACCACUAUAAAGUGGCAGUGUAAAGGGCCUAACUGCUGUUUGAGGGCACAGAAGGGGCCUAACUACUACCGUGCCAGAUAAAGGAAAAGUGAAAGAAUCCACCUUGGGAGAUACUACAUGUAACUGUACUGUACUCACUUAUAUUACCUGCAGAACCGGUAAAGUGCUGGUACAUAUUGCUAUAUGGUCAGUGUAUGGGGGAAUAUAGCGCUAUUCACCAGUCAGUGGCUACAGUGGUAAUCUGCCUCAGUCAAUGCCUCGCUAAAUGGGCAGUUCCGACAGUGAUGCUACAGGUAGCAGGAAGAAGCAGAGUGUAUUAAGGACCAGGAGAUGUCAGAAUGGCAGGUGUGGGUAAUAGGGGCAGCGCCUGUUGCAUGAAGAUUUCUUUCUACUUAUACUAUUGCUCCUUGAGACGGGAUCGGGUUAUCUUCUUUCUGCAACCUUUCAGGCUUGGCAGUUCAUCUCCAGUGAAGAAUUUGGCUACCCCUGCAGAGGGGUGAUAUGCACAAUUUAUUAUAUACUAGGUGAGUGGCCACUCAGAAGGCUGGCAUUUUCUGUUCUACACUCAGGCAUAUUACCUUGGAUAAUACACGAGGCGCGGUUCCCCGAUUUUUUCCAUUUUUUAAGGUAUCGCUGGCUGAAGCGCGACAUAGUUGCGGCCGGAGAUUACCUGAGUCCACAGUGUGACCCGUUGACCACGGGAACCAGGAAAAUGGCAGCAGAGGUCUGAAAUGGCGAUACCAGGACACGAGGUAGCAGCGGCUAAUUUUUUUGCUGAUCCCCUGACUCCUGGAUGACAUUGUUCUCAUGUUUGAUGGCCUACCAUAGCAACUGCCACAUAUUUUUUUUCUAGCCAGAAGCCCACCUUUAUCACAGGGACCUUGGGACCCAUCACCACCUGAUCUUUAUUGCUGGGGGAGGGCCCCCGGGUCCUGCAUAUAUUCAUUGUUUGUGGAUGGUCCUUCCACUUUGGUAUAGUUUGGGAUUAUUGUACACAU